rnacentral:misc_RNA from 1 species
GUGUGUGUUGGGGGCAGGUGGAGCUCAUACAGGUGGCGAUGGGCUUGGUGACUAUAUCAUAACACGAGGUGUCAAGGUUUGUUUUGCAAGUCGACUGUGAGGUUAUAUGAUACUGCUUUGUAGGGUCAUCAGCAAGUGUGUCCACUGUCCAUGUAGUGACCUUUUAAUUUUUUACUGUAAUGUUGUUUGGAUGGUUGUGUUGGUUUUAUUUAUUUAUUUAUU